UACGAAGGGGGCGAGCGUUGUUCGGAUUUACUGGGCGUAAAGGGCGCGCAGGCGGCGCAUUUUGUCAGGCGUGAAAUCCCUGGGCUCAACCCAGGAACUGCGUCCGAUACUGGUUGGCUUGAAUCCGGGAGAGGGAUGUGGAAUUCCAGGUGUAGCGGUGAAAUGCGUAGAUAUCUGGAGGAACACCGGUGGCGAAGGCGGCGACCUGGUCCGAUACUGACGCUGAGGCGCGAAAGCGUGGGGAGCAAACAGG
rnacentral:rRNA from 1 species